UGGGGAAUUUUGGACAAUGGGGGAAACCCUGAUCCAGCCAUGCCGCGUGCAGGAUGAAGGCCUUCGGGUUGUAAACUGCUUUUGUACGGAACGAAAAGGUCUCCUUUAAUAAAGGAGGCACAUGACGGUACCGUAAGAAUAAGCACCGGCUAACUACGUGCCAGCAGCCGCGGUAAUACGUAGGGUGCAAGCGUUAAUCGGAAUUACUGGGCGUAAAGCGUGCGCAGGCGGUGAUGUAAGACAGAUGUGAAAUCCCCGGGCUCAACCUGGGAACUGCAUUUGUGACUGCAUCGCUCGAGUGCGGCAGAGGGGGAUGGAAUUCCGCGUGUAGCAGUGAAAUGCGUAGAUAUGCGGAGGAACACCGAUGGCGAAGGCAAUCCCCUGGGCCUGCACUGACGCUCAUGCACGAAAGCGUGGGGAGCAAACA
rnacentral:rRNA from 1 species